UGGCCUAGCUCAGGAAACCUCCCAUCGCAUGGUCCCAGCCCCUCUCAGUGCUUGGCAUGGUUUUGAGAGUCAUAUGUUUACAAUGGCAGAGCCACAAACAGCCUGGGAGCCAACCCGGACUCCCAACCUGGAAAAAUAAGCCAGAGGAAAAAAAGUUUUCGCGGUAGCAAGCUAUGACAUUCUGAGCCCAAUGUCAAAUAACUGCCGCAGAAGCAGUUAGCUUAGGGGAGGGCUUGGAACUUCAGCAGACUAAGAAUCAGGGUUGGGAGUGGGGGAGGGGGGUGACUGUUGGACAUCUAAUGUGGAAGCCAUGUGUGAAGUUUUAUAAGCUCUUGGAGAGCGACAGCGAUUCUGAUGAGGGUGCUAAGCUUAGUUCAUCCGCCUCAUUGACUGGACCUUCCAUGGAGCUGAGGGGCCCACAGGGUUGUGGAUGAGUUAUUGGCUGAGGAAAGGUCCUGAGAGAAUUCAGCUUGGCUUUUGAAAAAAUUUUCCCCUUCAUUGAGUUAUGCAGGAUCUGAUGAAAGCAAGAAGGGGUAGUUACCUCAGGAAGACACAGGAGGCAUUGCCCCCUUGGGGAGUGGAGCUGUGAAGUAGAGAAGGGCUCUCUGCGUUUCAAAGCUCCCAGCUUUCCUGUUCUGACUCUCUCACUGCAGAGCGGGGGCAGACCCCUCCCUGAAUGCUUCCAGGUGCAGGUCCUCCCUCUUGGAGCUCUUGGAAGGACUGGAGACACGAGUUGGUCCCCCCUCACCACCUCUGACACCUAUGGCAGAGGGCACUCUGCAAGAAAGAAGCCAUCAGUUUGGAGAGGGGAUGAAUUAAGGUCUCAUGUAGCCCAGAAUGGCCCUAUGAAGCUGAGGAUGUCUUUAACUCCACCAGGACCUCCUAUCAUCACCUCUCAAGCACUGGGAUUACAUGUGUGCAGGGGCCAUUGCCUUUAUCUCAGCUCCUAUGACAUCUUUAUCAAACAAUGAGCUCUACAUUCCAUAAACAGAAACCAGAAGGCA
rnacentral:lncRNA from 1 species